GGCGGCAGGCCUACACAUGCAGUCGAACGAGAAGCCACCUUCGGGUGGUGGACAGUGGCAGACGGGUGAGUAACGCGUGGGAACGUGCCUUUCGGUUCGGGAUAACCCAGGGAAACUUGGGCUAAUACCGGAUACGCCCUUCGGGGGAAAGAUUCAUUGCCGAAAGAUCGGCCCGCGUCGGAUUAGCUAGUUGGUGGGGUAAAAGCCUACCAAGGCGACGAUCCGUAGCUGGUCUGAGAGGAUGACCAGCCACACUGGGACUGAGACACGGCCCAGACUCCUACGGGAGGCAGCAGUGGGGAAUAUUGGACAAUGGGCGCAAGCCUGAUCCAGCCAUGCCGCGUGGGUGAAGAAGGCCUUAGGGUUGUAAACCCCUUUCAGCGGGGAAGAUAAUGACGGUACCCGCAGAAGAAGUCCCGGCUAACUCCGUGCCAGCAGCCGCGGUAAUACGGAGGGGACUAGCGUUGUUCGGAAUUACUGGGCGUAAAGCGCACGUAGGCGGAUUUGUAAGUCAGGGUGAAAUCCCGGGGCUCAACCUCGGAACUUGCCUUUGAUACUGCAAAUCUCGAGUCGGAANAAGGUUAAGUGGAAUUCCUAGUUGUUAAAGGUGAAUUCCGUANAUAUU
rnacentral:rRNA from 1 species